rnacentral:rRNA from 1 species
GAUGAACGCUGGCGGCGUGCCUAAUACAUGCAAGUCGAGCGCAAAGAUCAGGAGCUUGCUCCUGUGAUUUGAGCGGCGGACGGGUGAGUAACACGUAGGCGACCUACCCUUGAGAUUGGGAUAACUACCGGAAACGGUAGCUAAUACCGGAUACGACCUUUCCACACAAGUGGAAUUGUUAAAAGGCGGAUUUAUCUGCCGCUCAUGGAUGGGCCUGCGGUGCAUUAGCUAGUUGGUGAGAUAGUAGCUCACCAAGGCGACGAUGCAUAGUCGACCUGAGAGGGUGAUCGGCCACACUGGGACUGAGACACGGCCCAGACUCCUACGGGAGGCAGCAGUAGGGAAUCUUCCGCAAUGGACGAAAGUCUGACGGAGCAACGCCGCGUGAGUGAUGAAGGGUUUCGGCUCGUAAAACUCUGUUGUUAAGGAAGAAUACUUGAGGUAGUAACUGGCCUUGAGAUGACGGUACUUAACCAGAAAGCCACGGCUAACUACGUGCCAGCCGCCGCAGUAA